GUAAGUUAAAAGUGAAAUCCCAUGGCUCACCUUUGGAAUCGCUUUAAAAACUGCUAAUCUAGAGAUUGAAAGAGGAUAGAGGAAUUCCUAGUGUAGAGGUGAAAUUCGUAAAUAUUAGGAGGAACACCAGUGGCGAAGGCGUCUAUCUGGUUCAAAUCUGACGCUGAGGCGCGAAGGCGUGGGGAGCAAACAGGAUUAGAUACCCUGGUAGUCCACGCUGUAAACGAUGAAUGUUAAAUAUGGGAAGUUUUACUUUCUGUAUUACAGCUAACGCGUUAAACAUUCCGCCUGGGGACUACGGUCGCAAGAUUAAAACUCAAAGGAAUUGACGGGGACCCGCACAAGCGGUGGAGCAUGUGGUUUAAUUCGAUGCAACGCGAAAAACCUUACCACUCCUUGACAUGGAAAUUAUACCUAUUCGAAGGGAUAGGGUCGGUUCGUCCGGGUUUCACACAGGUGUUGCAUGGCUGUCGUCAGCUCGCGUCGUGAGAUGUUGGGUUAAGUCCCGCAACGAGCGCAACCCUCAUCCUUAGUUACCAUCAGGUAAUGCUGGGGACUUUAAGGAAACUGCCAGUGAUAAACUGGAGGAAGGUGGGGAUGAUGUCAAGUCAUCAUGGCCCUUAUGGAGUGGGCUACACACGUGCUACAAUGGUGGCUACAAUGGGCUGCAAAGUCGCGAGGCUAAGCUAAUCCCUUAAAAGCCAUCUCAGUUCGGAUUGUACUCUGCAACUCGAGUGCAUGAAGUUGGAAUCGCUAGUAAUCGUGGAUCAGCACGCCACGGUGAAUACGUUCUCGGGUCUUGUACACACUGCCCGUCACGCCAUGGGAAUUGGUUUCACUCGAAGCUAACGACCUAACCGCAAGGAGGGAGUUAUUUAAAGUGGGAUCGGUGACUGGGGUGAAGUCGUAACAAGGUAGCAGUAGGGGAAUCUGCGGCUGGAUCACCUCCUAAG
rnacentral:rRNA from 1 species